rnacentral:rRNA from 1 species
GUGCAGCAGUCGCGAAACCUCCGCAAUACACGAAAGUGUGACGGGGCCAUCCCGAGUGCCGUCCGCUGAGGACGGCUUUUCCCCAGUGUACAUAGCUGGGGGAAUAAGGAGAGGGCAAGCCUGGUGUCAGCCGCCGCGGUAAUACCAGCUCUCCGAGUGGUGGGGACGCUUAUUGGGCCUAAAGCAUCCGUAGCCGGCUGGGCAAGUCCUCCGUUAAAUCCAACGAUUCAAUCGUUGGGCUGCGGGGGAUACUGUCCAGCUUGGGGGGCGGGAGAGGCCGACGGUAUUCCCGGGGUAGGGGUGAAAUCCUAUAAUCCCGGGAGGACCACCAGUGGCGAAGGCUGUCGGCUAGAACGCGCCCGACGGUGAGGGAUGAAAGCUGGGGGAGCGAACCGGAUUAGAUA